rnacentral:sRNA from 1 species
UCUGAAGAGUGAAAUAUAUAUAUAAAUGCAUUCAUCAAUAAUAUGAUUUUUCAGCUUCAAACAUUAUCAUAAGCACUACUUAUCUUAUAUCUACAUAUUUAGCAUAAACUUGUUCCUUUUUUAAUUUUUCUUCGUGAUUUUUAUUAAUUAAAAAAUUGAUCCCAAGAUAUUUGAGACCAUGUAAAAUAAAGAAAGACAACUCUUAAACAGGAUCUUUCAUACCAAGAUUUUUGCAAUAAUUAAGUAUUUCCUUUAAUUUUUCAAUUUCAUUCAAUUUCUUUUCUUCAUCCCAUUCACCAACGAACAUUGUUUAUAAUUUCAGGUUUUUGUGGUAUUUUGUCCAGCAGUUUGCCUUAAAAGAAUUUUUUUAUAUUUUAGUUUCAUAUUUAUGUGGAUUCCAAUAAAAAUCAUACAAACUUC